rnacentral:rRNA from 1 species
UACGAAGGGGGCUAGCGUUGUUCGGAUUUACUGGGCGUAAAGCGCACGUAGGCGGAUCGUUAAGUCGGGGGUGAAAUCCUGGAGCUCAACUCCAGAACUGCCUUCGAUACUGGCGAUCUUGAGUCCGGAAGAGGUGAGUGGAACUCCUAGUGUAGAGGUGGAAUUCGUAGAUAUUAGGAAGAACACCAGUGGCGAAGGCGGCUCACUGGUCCGGUACUGACGCUGAGGUGCGAAAGGCGUGGGGAGCAAACAGG